AUUGAACGCUGGCGGCAAGCUUAACACAUGCAAGUCGAGCGGAGAUGAGGUGCUUGCACCUUAUCUUAGCGGCGGACGGGUGAGUAAUGCUUAGGAAUCUGCCUAUUAGUGGGGGACAACAUUCCGAAAGGAAUGCUAAUACCGCAUACGUCCUACGGGAGAAAGCAGGGGAUCUUCGGACCUUGCGCUAAUAGAUGAGCCUAAGUCGGAUUAGCUAGUUGGUGGGGUAAAGGCCUACCAAGGCGACGAUCUGUAGCGGGUCUGAGAGGAUGAUCCGCCACACUGGGACUGAGACACGGCCCAGUCUCCUACGGGAGGCAGCAGUGGGGAAUAUUGGAAAAUGGGGGGAACCCUGAUCCAGCCAUGCCGCGUGUGUGAAGAAGGCCUUAUGGUUGUAAAGCACUUUAAGCGAGGAGGAGGCUACUGAGACUAAUACUCUUGGAUAGUGGACGUUACUCGCAGAAUAAGCACCGGCUAACUCUGUGCCAGCCGCCGCUGUAA
rnacentral:rRNA from 1 species